UACGUAGGGUGCGAGCGUUGUCCGGAAUUAUUGGGCGUAAAGAGCUCGUAGGCGGUUUGUCGCGUCUGCUGUGAAAACCUAAGGCUCAACCCCGGACUUGCAGUGGGUACGGGCAGACUAGAGUGUGGUAGGGGAGACUGGAAUUCCUGGUGUAGCGGUGAAAUGCGCAGAUAUCAGGAGGAACACCGAUGGCGAAGGCAGGUCUCUGGGCCACUACUG
rnacentral:rRNA from 1 species